UACGGAGGGGGCUAGCGUUAUUCGGAAUUACUGGGCGUAAAGCGCACGUAGGCGGCUUUGUAAGUAAGAGGUGAAAGCCCGGAGCUCAACUCCGGAACUGCCUUUUAGACUGCAUCGCUUGAAUCCAGGAGAGGUGAGUGGAAUUCCGAGUGUAGAGGUGAAAUUCGUAGAUAUUCGGAAGAACACCAGUGGCGAAGGCGGCGCACUGGACUGGUAGUGACGCUGAGGUGCGAAAGCGUGGGGAGCAAACAGG
rnacentral:rRNA from 1 species